GAUCUGGUGGCUUAGUACUUGAGCGUCCGCCUCGAAUGCGGGAGGUCGCGGUUUCGAACCCCAGCCGAGUGACUUUCA